AUUCUUAUAAUUUCCAAGAAAAAAAUAUGCAUAUGAAUUUUAAAGGAUUACAUGUUUGUUGCAGAAAAAGGGAAAAAUACACAACAGUAGGAAAACAACUUUUCCUAGUAUUUAAGACUACUAUUCAUUAGUCAUUAUUUUGGUGUUUUUUCCCCUGUAUUUAUCUUUUUCAAAGUUGAACUCACAUCAUUUAUGAAAUUUUUAUUCUGCCCUUUUCAUUAACCACAAAACAUUCUUUGUAGCUGCCAGAAACUCUCAUCCACAAUGAUGAGACU
rnacentral:lncRNA from 1 species